CACGUAGGGCGCAAGCGUUGUCCGGAAUUACUGGGCGUAAAGGGCUCGUAGGCGGCCAACUAAGUCAGACGUGAAAUCCCUCGGCUUAACCGGGGAACUGCGUCUGAUACUGGAUGGCUUGAGAUUGGGAGAGGGAUGCGGAAUUCCAGGUGUAGCGGUGAAAUGCGUAGAUAUCUGGAGGAACACCGGUGACGAAGGCGACAUCCUGGACCAACACUGACGCUGAGGAGCGAAAGCCAGGGGAGCAAACGGG
rnacentral:rRNA from 1 species